AUACGGAGGGUGCAAGCGUUAUUCGGAAUCACUGGGCGUAAAGCGCGCGCAGGCGGCUAUUUAAGUUGGAUGUGAAAGCCUACGGCUCAACCGUAGAACUGCAUCCAAAACUAUUUAGCUAGAGUGUGGGAGAGGAAGAUGGAAUUAGUUGUGUAGGGGUAAAAUCCGUAGAGAUAACUAGGAAUACCAAAAGCGAAGGCAAUCUUCUGGAACACUACUGACGCUGAGGCGCGAAAGCGUGGGGAGCAAACAGGAUUAGAAACCCUAGUAGUCC
rnacentral:rRNA from 1 species